rnacentral:tRNA from 1 species
GCCUUCGUGGUGUAGUGGUUAGCACGCUCGACGCGUAUUCGAGAGGUCCGUGGUUCGAGUCCCGGCGAGGGCA